AGCUCCAAUAGCGUAUAUUAAAGUUGUUGCAGUUAAAAAGCUCGUAGUUGGAUUUCUGGUGGAGGUGAUCGGUCGGCCUCGCAAGGGGUCUGCACCUGUAUCGUCCUUUGCCAUCCUUCAGGAAGGCGCUUCUUGUAUUAACUUAUGGGUUGCGAACUCCUGAUCUUUUACUGUGAAAAAAUUAGAGUGUUCAAAGCAGGCUUAGGCCGUUGAAUACAUUAGCAUGGAAUAAUGAGAUAGGGCCUUGGUGGUUUUCUAUUUUGUUGGUUUGCACGCCAAGGUAAUGAUUAAUAGGGAUAGUUGGGGGUAUUCGUAUUCAAUUGUCAGAGGUGAAAUUCUUGGAUUUAUGGAAGACGAACUACUGCGAAAGCAUUUACCAAGGAUGUUUUCAUUAAUCAAG
rnacentral:rRNA from 1 species